rnacentral:rRNA from 1 species
GUGCCAGCAGCCGCGGUAAUACGGAGGGUGCGAGCGUUGUUCGGAAUUACUGGGCGUAAAGCGCGUGUAGGCGGCCUCUUAAGUCUGGUGUGAAAGCCCGGGGCUCACCCCCGGAAGUGCACUGGAUACUGAGAGGCUCGAGUACCGGAGAGGAGGGUGGAAUUCCUGGUGUAGCGGUGAAAUGCGUAGAUAUCAGGAGGAACACCGGUGGCGAAGGCGGCCCUCUGGACGGAUACUGACGCUGAGACGCGAUAGCGUGGGGAGCAAACAGGAUUAGAUACCCUGGUAGUCCACGCCGUAAACGAUGGGCACUAGGUGUUCGGGGUUUUGACCCCCUGAGUGCCGCAGCUAACGCAUUAAGUGCCCCGCCUGGGGACUACGGCCGCAAGGCUAAAACUCAAAUGAAUUGACGG